rnacentral:rRNA from 1 species
UACGUAGGGGGCAAGCGUUGUCCGGAAUCAUUGGGCGUAAAGCGCGUGUAGGCGGCUCGAUAAGUCUGCUGUGAAAGUCCAAGGCUCAACCUUGGGAUGCCGGUGGAUACUGUCGAGCUCGAGUCCGGAAGAGGAGUGCGGAAUUCCUGGUGUAGCGGUGAAAUGCGCAGAUAUCAGGAGGAACACCAAUGGCGAAGGCAGCACUCUGGGACGUGACUGACGCUGAGACGCGAAAGCGUGGGGAGCAAACAGG